GUACAUGCUCCUCGCGUCAGCCUUUCCAUGAGACCCAUCGCUGCAGCGUGGAGAUCAAGAGGUCUUGCACGAAUAGGUCACGUGUGCGCGCAGGGGGCUUCGACGUCUACCGAUAAUUAGCCUACAAGUGCGUCGCUCCGUCCUCGACGUGCUUAGGAGCUUGACCUGUGCCUUGGAAUGGGACCAAAUCCUACGCGCACGUACAUUGCAAUAGGCUAAUUACGCAAAUGAAUAGGUGGGAUUUAUUUUCACUAUAUGACUACAGUUAUGCAACGAGUAAGAGUAAUGCGAGUAGCAGUUGGUGUUCACUAGCAAGCGGUAAAAUGCCGCUCGCUUGUGGGCUUGCUGGCUGCAUAUGACAGCAUAUAGCAGCAUGUUCGAGUGUGCGUUAAGGAUUCAGCAUAGCAAGUUUGAAAGAAGGUCUUGUUAUUAAAUGGGUAAAUAGUUCAAUAGUAAUAUUCUCUAAAACGCUCUGGUGACAAACAAACUUUGCUGCCCUGUUUCCAAUCAUCCACGUGGCUGGGAGAACAUAUUCAAGUUUUCUGACAUCAGAUACAGAGAACUGUGAAAGCCUGUCCACGGACGAAGAGGUCCCAAAGAAGAGCAAUGGGUCUCAGUCCUGGUCUUGGGGACUCAAAGGGGUGCACAUUUCUGGUUUUGCCUUAGCGCUGAUUCAAAUGAUCAACUGAUCAUCAAGCUUCAAGUGUUAUUUAUGUAUUCAUGUGUGAUGCUAUCCUUGAUAUGCUCCUGCUAUAUUGUCACAUGCUACACAUGCACAUGUGUGUGCACAUGCAUCUAUCAAUCCAAUGUUAUCAUGAUUUGUUCUACUUUAGUAAUCCACAAUGACCUGGUGAUGUAAAAGUCUAAUAAUAACAUUAUCAUCCAUAUUCCUACAGACAGAUACCUUGAAACUGGAGAUUCCUUCAAAACGAUUGCCUACAGUUACCAUGUAGGGCACUGCAAGGUUGGGUGACCAGGGCCAUCUGGAACUGCCUCCUGGAGGAAUUCAGACGUGUGAAGGCUACCUGUGUCCUGCAUAACUUCAUGGGGAUGGACACGAGGACCAGGAGGGGAUCUGCAGCUCGCCGCCGUGUGCCAGAGGAGAAGUCUGCUGCUCUGCAGGAUGUUUCAAGGAUGAGGUCCAACAAUGCAGCAAGAGAGGCAAUCCGUGUGUGGGAGAUCUUCACCUCCUACUUCUUUGAAGAGGGUGCUGUUCCCUGGCAACACCAUGGACUACAUUACACUGAUUUCUACUUCUCAGGCUCAGGUGUAUAACUGUGGCUCCUUCCACCUUCAAACAGUAGGAAAGAGGGCCAACCAUGGAGAAUAGUAUGUUUUGAUGUCAAAGAGGAUGCCAACCCCCAGUCCCGUCAUCUCCACCUCACCCGCUCUUAAGAUAACCUUCGGGCCGACUGAGAGGCUGGUUAUGAGACACCACUAGAGACACUAUUAUGUAAUUGUGAUGAACCGAGAGAAUAUUAGGGUAGCACUCUGAUUCAUUAAUCAUAUCCUCUCUUCCCUGCUCCUCUGUUCUUACCUCUUUCCCUUUGUCUUUUUAUCUCUCUCGUCGCCACAUCUUUCUUCCUGUUUUUAUAAUGCACACCAGAUAUGCAUUGAAGUACAGAUUGAACUUCUUUAUAAUAUUACAAUUAUAAUAUGUUUAAUGCAUGUAUUAUGUAUUUAUAACACUUGGAUAAUGAACUUCUUUCAAUAAAGCGUUUCACAUUCUCUA